rnacentral:rRNA from 1 species
GAUGAACGCUAGCUACAGGCUUAACACAUGCAAGUCGAGGGGAAACGACAUCGAAGGCUUGCUUUUGAUGGGCGUCGACCGGCGCACGGCUGAGUAACGCGUAUCCAACCUGCCCACCACUUGGGGAUAACCUUGCGAAAGUAAGACUAAUACCCAAUGAUAUCUCUAGAAGACAUCUGAAAGGGAUUAAAGAUUUAUCGGAGAUGGAUGGGGAUGCGUCUGAUUAGCUUGUUGGCGGGGUAACGGCCAACCAAGGCGACGAACAGUAGGGGGCCGGAGAGUAAGGUCCCCCAAAUUGGAACUGGGACACGGUCCAAACUCCUACGGGAGGCAGCAGUGAGGAAUAUUGGUCAAUGGACGAGAGUCUGGGCCAGCCAAGUAGCGUGCAGGAUGACGGCCCUAUGGGUUGUAAACUGCUUUUAUAAGGGAAUAAAGUGAGUCUCGUGAGACUUUUUGCAUGUACCUUAUGAAUAAGGACCGGCUAAUUCCGUGCCAGCCGCCGCCGUAA